GACGUAGGGCGCAAGCGUUGUCCGGAUUUAUUGGGCGUAAAGAGCUCGUAGGCGGCUUGUUGCGUCGACCGUGAAAACCCGUGGCUCACUGCGGCUUGCGGUCGAUACGGGCGGGCUAGAGUUCGGUAGGGGAGACUGGAAUUCCUGGUGUAGCGGUGAAAUGCGCAGAUAUCAGGAGGAACACCGGUGGCGAAGGCGGGUCUCUGGGCCGAUACUGACGCUGAGGAGCGAAAGCGUGGGGAGCGAACAGG
rnacentral:rRNA from 1 species